UCUACCUCUAAACCCAGUCCUUUGUGUUCCUUUACAUAAUCUACCUCUAAACCCAGUCCUUUGUGUUCCUUUACAUAAUCUACCUCUAAACCCAGUCCUUUGUGUUCCUUUACAUAAUCUACCUCUAAACCCAGUCCUUUGUGUUCCUUUACAUAAUCUACCUCUAAACCCAGUCCUUUGUGUUCCUUUACAUAGUCUACCUCUAAACCCAGUCCUUUGUGUUCCUUUACAUCAUUUACCUCUAAACCCAGUCCUUUGUGUUCCUUUACAUCAUUUACCUCUAAACCCAGUCCUUUGUGUUCCUUUACAUCAUUUACCUCUAAACCCAGUCCUUUGUGUUCCUUUACAUCAUUUACCUCUAAACCCAGUCCUUUGUGUUCCUUUACAUCAUUUACCUCUAAACCCAGUCCUUUGUGUUCCUUUACAUAAUCUACCUCUAAACCCAGUCCUUUUUUUCUCCAGGUCUUUAAAGGUGAAUUUCAGCUACCUGAGUUUCUAAGAGAACAAUCUCAGGUACAGUAACUAUUCUGCCUGUAGUUAUGUUCUGCAGUUAUCUAUAAUAGAGGCAAAAUGGUGGCCACUGUUCAUUGGAAAUCUGGUUACAAUUUUCCAUCUGCUUUUAGUUAUGAAUUUCUCUCUUGUCUCGUUUGUUGUUGUUGUUAUUGGUCACGAUGACAUGCUGUCUAUGACUAGGUUUUUCUGUCUGCUGUACUGUAGUCUGACUGUUGUUCUCCGGUCUCAUUUCUCACCUUGUGUUUGUGUUUUUGGAACGCUUCCUCUCACAUUAGAGGUUCGUGAGCUAACCACAUUGUCUGUCUCCUGUUGGUCCUUUUUUGAUUUGUCACUGAACUGAUGUGUUGUUUUUCGGGAAGAGUACUACUGCCACCGUGUGACAGCAAGCACACAUGACAUGCCGCCAGCAACACAGCGUGUGAACACUGAUUCUGUGAAGUGUUUUUUUUGUUGUUGUUGUUGCGCAGAGCCAUGAUGAAUUUCACUUCUUUCAAACAGUUCAUACUUUUUGACACAAACGUUGAUUUACAACACACAGUCCCAUAAUGCACCAUCCCUCCUACUCCAGUCCCAGACCAGAGAAUUCCCAUAAUGCCCAUCUUCUCUCUCUAGCUUCAGAAGACUCCAGAGAAACCUAAACCCCAGUUAGGAGAAGCAGAUGAACCAUCCUUCUCUUCCAGUCCCAGACCAGAGAAUUCCCAUAAUGCACCAUCCUUCUCUUCCAGUCCCAGACCAGAGAAUUCCCAUAAUGCACCAUCCUUCUCUUCCAGUCCCAGACCAGAGAAUUCCCAUAAUGCCCGCAAGUCUAACAAAAGUCUAUCUUCUUCUUCUCUCCAGCUUCAGAAGACUCCAGAGAAACCUAACCCGCCACAGAGCCAGACAAGACACCGAUGGACAGAGGAAGUUAUCAAAUAAACUCUGCAUCAUCUUUUGGGGACCUCUGUGCUCUUCCAUGGACACACACACACACACACACACACACACACACACACACACACACACACACACACACACACACACACACACACACACACACACACACACACACACACACACACACACACACACACACACACACACACAUACACACACGUUAGCCUGUGUCAGUGGGGACCGGACCACCAUGGCUUGGAGAACUCUUUUGGCCUUCGAUGUUGUACUGUAAACUAAUGAUGUGUUUGUCACAAAAUGGUGACCAGAGAAUGUUGCUGUUAUGUUUCUUUCUUGUCUAGGGCUGCAAAAUUCUGGAACAUUUCAAAAGAUUCCUAGAUUUCUCCAGAAAUCUAUAAUUCUACAACUAGGAUUUCUGGGAAACCUUUUGAAAUUUGAGAAAAAGUUUUGCAACACUAUUGUCACACCAUGCUCAUCUGGAUUUGUAGUUUUUAUGGUUUUCUCCCAGCUAUAUAAAAAUCUGUGAUUCUGUUGUAAGAAACUACAGUGGACUUAAAAUGUAAAUCUAAAAAAAAAAAAAUACAGUAUUUAUAGAUGAAAUGUAGCUUUUUGAAGAUGCUAUAUAUCUAUUUUAAUGUUUCAUUUUGUUUUUCAUGCCUUUUUAUCGUGCAAUUCCAUGGGGUACUGUGAUGUACAAGAUUCUAGUUAAGUAUUGACAGUGAUAAAGAUGGCAUUUUGUAACGUG